ensembl:lncRNA
UUUAAAAUCAAUUAACCUAAAUGUUAAUUAAUGUCAAGCCCAUAGAACAAAAAAGGGAGAACGAAGGCGCGUGUAGUGGCCAUGUGGAAGGAAAUGUAGGGAGAGGAGGAGGAGGGUGUGUAAGAGAGAGACUGAGAGAAAGGGGCUGGGCAAAUAAGGGAUACAAGGAGCGAAUGCGGUUGAUGGCAGAGAGAAGUUGGCACAGUGCCAUCCAUUCAGUGGUAGCACCAGGGCGGACUUCUGCUCGCUCUCUAGGGUAGCUGGUUAGAUGCAGCCUGGGAGACAGAAGAGUCCUGUCGUGGUUAGGGUAGCAUCACAUGCUUUUUCUUUUAUCUUUAAUUAUUCAUUUUUUGGGGCUGCCGAAUAUUAGAAGUUACAUAUAAGAUAUGUCUGCCGACACAAAUUCAUCCUUAUAUCAGUACCGCUUUGGAGAUCACGUAAACAUCUGCUGACGAAGACUUCAAGACGGGACCUCGACCUCAAUACAUUUGGAGAGCCCUCCACUGAGAUGGACUAGUUGCAGCAUGGCGCCAUGAUGGAGGUACAUGAGUGGAUUUCCGUACUCUCUAAGACGAAUGAGACAGGAAGUGAACCAACAGGCCGCCGGCGCCAAAAACAGGGAAGUUGGAAAUGGAGUAGGCAUCACAUGGGGUUAAGGAAGGAAAUGGAAAAUGAAACAACAAAGCAGAAACACUGGGAUGUUUUUUAUUACAGUGGUAACGGGGUGGUUUGGCGGUGGCACAAAGGAAAGCUCCUCCCACUCGCUCCUUCUUCUUGCUCUCUUGUACCGUCUGAGGCACAGCUCUCUGUGCCAGGCAGCGAGCCAACGGGCAGGACACGCCAUGCCAACUCACGCGUUGGCAGUAAAGGACGUACCCUUGGAGACGUGUCCACUGACGAACGCCAUUUGACAUUUAUGGACUUGGGUAAAAGUCAUUGGAUUGGAGGAAGCCCAAGAAGCCAAAAUUUGGAAAGUACGUGUCUCAAGCGGUGUACCAACAGAAAUGUAAUCUGGCAGGAAACCGGCAAAGAACGGGGGAAUAAAAACUACAAUCAACCGAACUCGACACAAAGGACUACCCAACACGUUUCAAUGGUCGAAAAACAAAAGAGGAAGGAUCAAGCAGAGAAAUUACAGCACCAGAUUUGACUAAUUGGAGAACAUUUUGCUUCGUUAAUUAGGGAGAAACAUGAACUAAUUAAUAAUCAUCAAAAGAAUCCAUAAUGGGGAGAAGACAACAAAAAACCAAGAUGAAGACAAAAGCGCCAAACUGUUCAACUAUUAGUACAGUGUGUGAAGCAAGUGCCUUAUUUUGUGCCAAUUCCUUUUCCCUUUAGCCACACUUCUGCCCCAGUGUAAAAUGCCAUUUCUGACAGCCACAUGGAGCAUCUAUCGUGGGCACUGCUACAACAGACGCUGCCAAUCUGCCAAUCUGUGAGUCUGCAUACAGACAGAGGAGGAGGGAAGAAUGGACCCGAGGGACUGUGCCUGAAGCUCAAUAGCAGCUGUUUACAAUAUUAGAGACAAAGAAAAUGCAAGCAUGAGGAUGAAUACUAAUGAACUCUCAAAACAAAUUAUAAUCAGAGGAUAGACAGAAUCAACACACACACACACACGUAUACAUAUAUAUUUGUGCUGACCAGAAGUUCUCACACAGCCGGUUUUCCUCGAGAUGAUUUUUUUCUGUGUUCACACAGCGCAAAAUCUUUAAAAGACCAGGAAAUUAUACAUCUGCAGCAAGCCACGCAACAACAGAUAGAAAUGCAGGCAAUUCAGUGCUUCUUCUAAAUUCACAGCAACCAUCAUGGACUUGAAAUCCUAUACAUUCAAUAUUGUAUCGAGCAGCAUGGGAGCCGCAAGGUGGCACAGACAGAACAGGAACCCAAGGAAAUGGGUACGGCAGGAACAAGGAGGCAACCUGAGUUGAAGAGAAAUUGAGGGGGAGGUGCUGGCCUGCCUGUAACCAAACUGAGGGUAUUGAGGCCGUGGGAACUCAUUACAUCUUCCACACCCACACCGCACAGAUCUUCGACUUUUUUUGCCCCCUUCUUGCCAACCGUCCAAAAGAAAUGAACAAACUCCACCCUUUUCAGGAUUUUCCCUCUUGCGGUAAACUAUCAUAAACACUCACGCAGACAAACGCAGACCUACCAACUGGUUGGAGUUGCGGUUCCGGGAGUCUCUGGGUCCGGAGAAACGAUUCUGUUGUUCCCGAGAGGUCUGCUGGCGUUGGGCACAGAGCCAAGGAUGGGCAUCGCUGCAAAGACGCACAACGGAGGCUUCAUUAAGUUCGUUGUUAAUUAAAACGUACAAUCGGAAUUAAAACAGUAAUUAGCCACGCGGGGAUGUUCAUCCAACAGUAACUAUUUUACUUUUCUUUUUUUCUCCUGGAUUUCUUUGGACAAGAGGCAUGGUUUUACAAUAUGAAUAAUCAAGGAAGUCUUCCAAAGAGGAGGGAUUAUAACAUCUUUGUGCUCGCUGCCCAGCCAUGGCACUACCAAGAUGUCUGAAUCCACCACUGAGGAUGGACCGAUUGAAAGAUGGCAUCUUUUCGGGCAUCUCAAAUGCAAAAAUCGCGAUCGCAACAAAGACGAAUUACGAUGAAUCUAAAUUUAUAAUUGAUGUUGCAUUUUUUCCAUAACGAUCAAGUGGAGACACGUGGAUAUGCUAAUCGUUUGGAGCUAAUGAACUUUGGAUAAUCACCCUUUUAUUUAAUUCCAUGGGGGAUGUUAAUUGUGCAGCAUCUUCAUUACACAAAUGGAUUACAAAAAAAAGGGCUUGAACGAGAGAGCAGAAUUGAAUGGGGGGUGGAGUGUGUGUAUAUGUGUGUGUCAGAGAGAGAGCGAGAGAGAGAGAGAGAGAGAGAGAGAGGGAAAGCAGGAUUGGGGAUAUUUUUCUUCCUUCGUUAUAUGCCAGUAGUCAAAUAAUGCCACAGUACUCACAAACAAGCAGAGAAAAGCUCCUGCAUUGGUGUCUUUGCUCCCUGCCUGCUCUCCAGAGCACCAUCUCUCGCAUAUGGAGACAUCUGCCUUUCCUGGUUCUGGAUCUUACAAAACUGGAGCGAGAAGACCAUCUUGGAAUCUACUUUCACUUGGAUAUUAUUUGUCUUAUUGAAAUGAUUAGCGCAUUAGCAGCAUUGAUCUUUAUUAGAACGGUGUUGUUGGCGCCCGGCCGAAGCGGAAUGCAGAGGAGACAGCAGACACUGUGGUGGGCACUGGCUAAUGUCCUCUGUGCUUAAUCAUCCUACAGCAGAAUGGUUUUAUGCAUAUUUCAUUUGCAUAUCAUUAAAUCGCUAAGGCAUAUGGGCAAAUGGCAGCAGAGAGCCAGGGACUGGAAAUAGAAAAGCAUGAAAUAUAAGAGAAAAAAAGCGACUCAUUAUGCGAUGACAUAUCUUCAAAGCUGUGCGCCUGGUUUCUGGCAACCUGCCAAUUCGUUUAAUUCAACAUUAAUUAAAAAUGUCUGUGCGCUCAAUCUUUCCGACACGGACUAAUUGAGCACCUUACAAUCUGCGCAAGGAGCUCUCUCACAUACAGUGGAUGUCUGUUCACGUAGAACUAAUGGAUGUUUGUGGAUUUGUUAAUGAAACAGAAAAAUUGAUUAUUUUUGCGAUUCCGGACUCAACUAAAUAUUUGCCAGCUACAAAACGAAAAGAAAAAAAAACGUGUUUGAAUGAACAAUUUACUGUUAAUUUCGUGAGAGCUCAUGUAAGGGUUUUAUAGGUUAUAUAAAUCACGGCAGAACAUUGCAGUUGACUGUGACUAGCAGCAGAUAAGUGACUGAGGAGUCAUAUACAUUCUUACUUGCAAUAACUGCCAUUGUGUCUUUCCCAGUAUCUCGCUACACAAGACAACAACCACCACUUCCAGACUAUUCCUCAAAUAAACUUUCCCCAAAAUAAACCUACGCCGGAUCUUUACUUUUGAACCAGGCCUAUUAUAUUGGAUAUGUUUAAUUAUUAUUACAUUAAUCCUCCCAUACAGAAACACAUGCAGCACAUAAUGUAAUGAGCCGUCAUUUUGCACUUAUUAGGAAGUUGUAAAAAACAAUAAUAUCCCAUAGAAUACAGGAUCACGUAGUUAGUGAGGAGAAGCACUGAGACCCAAUUUGGCACUUUGAGUCUUUUCUUAAAUUAAUUUUCUUUGAAGAUUAAAAAAAAAUAAAAGACUACAGAAGUCGUCUUUAAGAAAUCUUCUAACAAGGAUCCCUACCUAAACUAACUUUCAACAAAGAAGUUAAAACAAUAAUGGUACAAAAUGUAUAAUUUAAUUAAUAAUUUAAUGAAAUCAGAUUGCUGAGAGCUACAACAUGAACAACGACGAUUUAAAUUUGACUCCACAGAAAUCCAUGUAUCUAAUUGUGAAUCCUCUCCGCCUUAAUAAUUCUAUGCAACGCAAAAUCCCCCCCAAGCCAGAAUAUUUAAAUGAAGUGAGCUUCACGCCUCACCCAAUUAGUCAUGUUUAGUAAUUUGAGAAGUGAUUGCCGCAGGUGCAAGGAGGAGGGGCAGUGCAGACAGGACGCAGGUUGGCAGGGGAAGCCCAGUGAGGCGGGUAUGAGCCCGGCGCUCUGUAACCAUGGCACAUGCAGAUGUCGCUGUAGUUCUUCCAAAAGCCUCCACCAACUGAGUGGGAGGGAGGUAACGAGGAACUCGUUUGGCAUCACACACCUCCACCAUGCGUUUCUAAGCAGGAGUGUUCGUUUGUGGGAAAGAUGACGGCAGCAUGGGCCAGAGGAACUGACGUAGAUGAGACCAGGGUUAGGAGACAUCCCUCCCUGUAGGAGGGAAUUGUGGAUGCAAAUAGCCAUCGUGAAACAUUGCAACGGUUCAGCAGCACCAGUAAGGUGUCUGUGUAUUUUUAGGUUUGUCAUAAGAUGAAGAUAAUAUGCAGGUGUGCUAUAUGCUGGAAAUAAUUCCAGGCUGCUUUGUUCUUGUCUAAAAAUGUUACCUUUCUAUCAACAAGCAGUCGCUAAGCCUCCCAUCAAAAUGUUUAUUUAUUGAUCAUAUCGACGGGAGGUCAAUUUCAAAAGGAUACAGGAUCUCAAGUUAUCCGACUAAAGUUGACAUGGAGACAAACAGACACCAGUAAAUAUAUUUGCUGAAGGUUCAAUAUCUUAUCAGUAACAUUCAAUGGUUACUUUUACCCAAAGCAUCAUGAAUGCAUGAUGAAAAGGCAGACAUUAUUUACAUGCAUUCCCCUUAUGUGUGUGGACGGCCUCAGCCAAGUGAAUCGUACACAUGCUCGAUCAUAUACUUAUACUUACUUACUUAUAUACACAAUUCACUGGGCAUGAGGACUAUAUAGUGAGCAUAUCGCCCGAGCUGUAAAGCUCCACUAUCUCUUUAACCACAGUCUUGUCUAAACAUUAAUUGGUUCCUGAUAAUUCUCAGAUUAGAAUUAAUAUGCUGUCACUGAGGCAAUCGAGGUGACCCACUGUAUCUAGCUGGCUCUUCAUAAACUGGUGUGAAGGUCAACUGUCAAUCAAACUGCACAAUAUGACAAUCAAUCUUUAAAGUCAGAAUGAGGAUGCCAUUAACACUAGCAGUAAUGGCUGAUGAAAGAACUGCCAUAACGGCAAGCCUCGGGGGUCACUGCUUAUAGAUUGGCUGAGAGCAGAGGGAGGAAGAGGAAACGGUGGACGCUUUCCCAUAGAGUGCAAUUUCUAAAACGUUUUCUUUGACGCCAAAACUUUGAGUAUAGCUCACUUUAGAAUUAGCACACUGUAGUUAUGACUGCAGUUGUGUAAUGUCUAUCAAUAUCACAAUCUAAUGUUAAAGCUGUGAAAGUCCUCUUUCAGUGUAACGAGGGGUGAAAAAUGACCUCGCACUUAAAGGACAUGUCCAGUCGGCAGUUGACUGAAGGCACUCAAACAGCAGCUUGCGCAGCAUACUGGGGGUGUCAGAGAGAUAAAGACGUACCAUCAGAGUGUGACUAUUCUGCCUGGUCUAUUGAGAAGCUGCAGCCUGUUUGCCAUUACACUUGCAUUUUAGGAGCAGCCUUUGGUAUACUGAACACAAUAAGCCAUCCAAUGGGGAUUCAGCCACUAAAUUCCCCUCCGGAAUUCUGCAUGCUCAGCAGUUCUGUACUGUGUGUGUUUGUUGUUAUGUGAACGAUUUAGUAUCUGUGCAAUGGAAAGAGACAAAAGAUGGAGAGGCCUGCCAUGGUCACUGUCCGGGUCAGAGUUUAAAAAGCGGAGAGAGACAGAGAGAAUGGAAGUGAGGGAGAAUACAAGAAAGACAGAGGAUACGGUGUGAAAGAAAUGGUGCGUUUGUUCCCGAGUCCCACAGGGCCUGAACUGGGCGGCUGGCAAGGGAGCCAUUACAUGCGUGUCUCUGACAGCUCACUCUCUCAUUACGCCAGGAGACAGUUAGCACUAGCACUCUCAGACCACAGCUUUGUAAUGCAGACGAUAUUAUCACACACCCCACACAUAAAUACUUUUAGUGGAUGCCUUGAAAUACUGUACUGAGCCACUUCUGCACCAAAGUUGAGGUCUCUGCCUCGAUAGAAUCUAUUCAGGAAAAGCAAAUUGCAUGGACCAAAUGACACAGGUACAUGGUUAGGUUUAUUUUGUGAAUAGUAGGUUCUCCAUUCACCUUUGCAAUCUCUUUAACCCAUGUUUAUUUUACCCAUUAGUCCAUUUGUAAUGGGAUAUGCUUAUUUUACAUUGAUUGCAUCAUCUACUAGCUUGGCUCUCAUUACUUUCUUUGAAUCAUACUGAUGCAAUAUGGCUGCCAAUAUGAUCUCCCAGAACUCCGCAUGUUGGAUAGACAGCUCAGCCAUAGUGGAACCUAUAACAGGGUGUUCUAUGACCCAUAACUGUUGUCCUAAUACAACCUGCCUGGUAGAAAUCACACUUGUGAACAUGACCUCUGCUGGCUGAGGAAGACAAAUCUGCUACCUCCACACUUUACUGCCAAAGGGCAAAGACAGAUCUAAUUGGACUAAAAAAUACAUUACUCAAAGACUUUAAGGCAGCGAUUCCCAAAGUGUGGGCCGCGAGAGGUCAUUUACAAUAAAUAAAACGUUUUUAAUUUUCAAUUUUGAAAAGAAUAUAAAAAUAUGUAUGAUGCGGCACAUUAGUCAUGUGAAACAUUAAUUGAUGAAGCACAAACAAUUUAAACGAACAGAUUGGUUAAUCGGUUGAUCCAUACUGGUUGUACAUGGCGCUCAAGGCGCUCCAAACAUGACAAAGCUCGUCUACGAAGGCGAGAUGCUGAGCGGCGCUCAAGCGCGUGAGAUAUGGAGCUUGUUUCAGGACGCGUCGGAGAAACAAAGCUGUCGUUCUCUCCGAGGACUUCAUGAGAUUAAAGAGCGAGAGACGGUGCCCUUUUCUCUACAGUAGCUGAACCAUCUUAACGGGGAAAAUAAGUUAUUCUAAAAGCAGCCCUUGGCAGGCGGCGUGGCUGGAGAGCAGCCGAAGAUUUAAGGCAUGUAUGGCGAGGGGGGCGGCGGGAGCGGACGCACCUCGAUCGGACCCUGAAAGCACCGUCUCCACCUCCCCAUCCACCCGCCCCGACGCCAAACGUUUGACUGCAAUGGCGGCAAAUCACCAGCCGGUCUGCGAGCUGGACGCAUUGGUCUUAAUGUGCCGGUGACGAUGGUUGAAGCUGGUUGUCAUCUACGGUCCACUACGGUUACAUAAAGGUGUCGUUUGUGUUUUGACAAUGUUUUAUCUCAUAAUUUCGACUUUCUAUCCCCUUUCUUCAGUGCAGAAAUGGGCUUCUAUAGUUGUGUGAAUGCAUCGCUCCAGCCAAUCCAAAGAUGUAGAUACCAUGUGACUGGCUCCGCCCCCUUACUGUCUGAAAGAACAACAGCGAGCGCGUAGAAAACUCCUUUGAGCGCGAGCAGAGACUAACCUCGCGAACGAGGAAGUUCACGUCUCGCAAGUGAGCAAAUACCUCGCUCGAGACGAACUUUUGCUCGCUCGAGAUGGGCUUUUGCUGGCGGAUGUUUGAUUUACGCGCGCGCAUCAACCUGAUUUGCGCUCUCGAAUUUUGACAGUGAUUUGCGCUGAUAGACUGCAGUAUCUUAUGCGCCUUAUUGUGCGGAGAACACGUCACAUGAGCUCCGGAGAAAAUGGUAUACAAAACAUACAUUGUCGGUUAAUACAUUUUUAAUCGGUUAAAUUCUUAAGGUCAUUUAAUUAUCCCUAGUUAUGUUUUGAUCAGAGUUGUGAUUAAAGGUUUCGGUGGGCCGCAAAAGAUUUUCAGAUUUCAAAGUGGGCCGCGGCAUCAUUGAGUUUGGGAACCGCUGCUUUAAGGCACCUACCCACUAAGUUUUGAGAACUGUGAAAAAAGAGGAAAAAAAAAAAAAAGAGGACGUGCAUCUGAAGUUGUUAAAGUACUUUUGCAUGGAGUAGUCCAUCCAAAACCAUAUCAUUAAGGUUCAAAGAAAAACAUACAUUCAUGUGGGUAGAAAAUUGAAAACAAUUCAAUCUUCUCAUAUUGAUAAAAGCUGUGAGAGCGCGAUGAAACUUCCUGCACCUGUAACUGGCUGUUUGAAGACUGCUGCCUGUUGUGCAUCGACUAAGUUUGCAAGGCUGGUCAGAGGAGUGUUAUUGUUAUUCAAGCUUUAGCGCCUGCUCCCUACACAUAUCCAGUCCUAUAAAUGGUUCCAAAGGGAGGAUGGAGGGAAUAGAAACACUGUGAUAAAGGCCUUGUUUGAAAAUGAUUGACAUCAGAGGCUUGUAAUAAGGACCUUGAGACCCAUUUUCAUUUUUAUUCCCGCAAGCCAAAGACAUUAAGCCGUGUUUUCAGUGCAAAUCUGGACAAUUACCUCCAUCAUGUCCAGCAGAAAUAGGAGGAAAUGUGCCUUUUAUGGCAAACAGCUUUUAUGCUUCAUACUUCUUAGAAUUCUCCAUAGAUUUGCCAUUUUCUUGUGCGAUGAAAAAGUUUAAUUAAGUACAUGAAUAUUAGCCAAUGUGUGCACAAAUUGAAAAGCUUCUAAUGUUGGCUUUGUUAGAACCGUCACACUAGUGACAGUGAAGAAGAUGCCCUUGAUCAAUGGGGGAAGAAAUACAGACUACAGCGAGCCUAAUAGUGGGGUAAAAGAAUGUAAAACUGAAGUAUUGGAGGAAGAUGAGAUAUGACUACAUCAAGUAAGCUACAUGGCCAUAAAAACGUUUUAAGAUUAAAAUGAUGUCAUAACAAGUCAAUGGUUACAGAGGAAAAGAUACUCAAUACAUUUUGCCCAUGAGAGUUUUAUGGGACUUUGAUUAUGACGGCAACAAUCAUGCAGGCAGCAUUUAAACACACCUUUGGCAAAGACAUUUCAUACCAUGAAGGACAAAAGCUUUUACUAUAGCACCACCAAAGAAAUAAGCAAGCCAUAUGUAUCAUUUAAUUACAUUAAAAAGUCACAAAUGAAAAAGAAAAAAAAUGAAAGCGACCAGUCUUCUAGUUGGGGACAAAUUGCUCUCCUAUGUACAGCAUUGGCACGUAUGUAACCGGAGCCACAAAUUGAUUACUUUGAAAUAGGUUUAGUUAUACAAUAUAUGUUCACUUUGGUGCCUAAAGAGUCUCAAAACAAUACCAGUGCUUUUCAGCUGUACCACAUAUUUCCUUGCAGCUACAGCUUGAUCGUUGAGGCGCUUUGUGAAAUGGCUGGAGACAAUAAUUGCUACAAAUCAGACCCCAUAAACUUACCCUAACAUGAAGCGGAGUUGUUAAAAACAAUCAAUAAAUCAAUAAGUAAACAAACCUACAUCUUUGAAAAAGGAGGAAUAUAGAAACGUCCUUUUGUCAUUAAUCAGCUUAAAACAUUGUUAUCAACAAAAUGCAUCUGAAGAGCAACCGUUAUGCCUCGUGCUUCAAAGUUCCAUUUGAAUGCAGUAAAUGUCUGUUUAUACUGUUGUCAUGUUGCUCUUAAGAGCUGCUGACCUCCAUCCCCAACAGGUUUCCUAAUUAACACAGUAACCAUGGUAUUUUUUAAUGACCAAUUACUAGAUCAUGUCAGUGCAAUAGAUGAUACUAUUCUCAGGUACAUGUGCUAUUCAUGAAGUUGGACCAAAGAUUUUAGGGUUAGAAUCUAACUAGUAACCCAUGCAUGAGAAAACCUUUUUAGGAGACAAAAAUGUUAUUUCCAGAGGCUCACUGCAAAAUACAAAUAACAGUAAGCCCUAAUGGGCUAUUAAAAUGUAUUAUUGCUCCUCUCAAUUCACACAAACAAACAAUCCAUCUGACAUGGAAAAAAAAACAUGCUCAUUAAAAUCAAUGUCAAUAUCUGGUGAGGAAAGACCACCAACAACCCCUUGCAAGAUGCAUUUACAGGUAGAAACUAGAUACUAUGUUAAAAGCACACAUUAUAGCGUGGCACAUUGCAUCAUUCAAUACGGGCCAUAUAAAUAAAUAAAUAUUAAAGCAAAACAAGGGGCUUUGAUACAGAACUUUACCAGCACUCUUUUGUAAUUUGAAACAUCCAUAAUGGCAUGCCUUUGGCAGCAACAGGAAGCCCUGUGCUAAACCUCCAUCCACAACUUUUUUUCCAAAACCAUACACUUUUCAAGCCACUUUUAAUACUGUCUUGGAUGUACUGUUACUACGUACUACUUUGUUGAAAUUAAAAUGAUUGUACUCUUUGUUCUAUUAAUAUACCUUUACGCCUAGAGUCAGCAUUUGUUUCUUAAAGGCAUUUCAUUCUUGCAGGGUGUUUUGUGCACUAUUGUCAAAAGGGACCUGACUAUUUAAGGAUUUCAUAAAUAAAUACUUUCUAGGUUCAAAUGAUAAGUAACUAUAACAAAUUAGGAAUGAUCUACACGUGAAAGAAUACUAAGACAGCAAUGUGUACGCAUUAGCAUGACGGAAAUGUCAUGCCAGACAGGACAAGGUGAGGCUCACACUGCUUCCAAUACUCCCCACGGAAACAGAAGGUGGUGAUGCAUCUCUUAGACACCCAGAAAGUCCUUCUUAAUAAGAGCUCCAUGUCCUUUUGUAAUCCGUCUCUGUAUUAUCAGUGUGUUGCAGCUAAGUGUUGCAAUUAGGCCGGCCUUUUUCAUGCAAAUCAACUUGACAGCACAACAAUCAGUUAGUUAUGCUAGCUGUUGCUCUCUCAUUCUCCCCUUCGCUCCCUUGCCCUGUCCCUCCCGUCUAACCCAUUUUCUCUGGCAUUUGCAGAGGUUGGCACAUUUGCAUUAUUUAUCAUAAGGUUAGAAUGUGCACAACUCAAGGACGAGAGAAUAUGGUUAUAAGCACAGUUUUACAAAUCCUGAUUACAAAUUGCAACCAUUUGCCUCACUCAUGCUCCCCUAAGCAUCCCACAAAAUAUAACCGGAUCAGUCUACUUUAGCUGUAUGCUGAAAUGUGGGAUGAUGGGGAAUAAUACAUCACGGUAUCAUGCAGGCUGCAGGUACACAAGUGGCACUACAGUUUAAAGCCUUAACAAUAUUGCAGUCUAACCACACACACACACACACACACACACACACACCCUGUAUGUCUGGAAAUACGAUAAAUAAUUAAAUGGUAUUAUGAUGCAUAUGCAGUUGGAAGCUCGGUCAUUGCCAAUAUUAAUAGAUACCAUUUGUUCAAAGGAGGAGUCCCAUCAAAGGCUGACUGAAACAUGAAUCUUUAUUAACAUUAACAAAUAAUUUACAAGACAAAUAUAUUUUUGACUCAUGGUUACUUUAUAACAGACUGGCUACAGUGUCAAAAUUGCAAACAGGCUAUUGGUUGUUGCUGCAACAACAACUUCCGAUUACCGGUGAUCUCCGAUACCUGAUGUUUACAUAUAGUCGACGGAAUAAGUGUUGUGGUUGUAGGAUUUCACAUAAACAACAUAUGUAUAUUGUGUGUACUAGAGUGCCUUUUAGACUUGCAGUGGUGGUGUCUCCUUAACGCGGCAGUGUACCACAAACAAAUAUUUAAUUCAUUAAUUAAUUUUAGUAUUUUUUUCAUCAAAGUCCUCCGUUGGGACAGAGGCAAGUAGGGGAAAAAUCUAAACAAAAUAACUGCAUGUGAUCUUUUUUCUAAGGGUCAAUUAAACUAAAUCUGACAGAAAAAACAUUGGAGAAUUUAAAAGAGAUUAGAAGUGGGUGGUGAGGAAUGAGAGAGAGAGAAAGGAUGUGUUUGAGAGGGAGAGAGAGACAAAGAGGGAGGAAAAGAAAGAUAAAAGAAGUGCUGCAGGAUGAUUUGUCUGCCUUUAAACUGAACUCUCAAUCUAGUUGUGUUCCUUAAAAGGAAACCAGAGGGCUUAGCUGAGGCAUUGCCUUGAAAGUCAUGAAUAAACAUCAGAUUGCCUCUCUGUGCAUACAUCAUACAUCACAAGACGACACUACCUAAUGGAGGAGGAUUCCUCGCCCUCCGACACAUGAAAAGGCAGUGAAAUUACCCACCAAACCAUGCAGCCGCAUGGUUAUAAAAUGGACCGCAGAGGGAGAGAAGAGGGGGCGCUGAGGAAGAAAGGAGGAGAAGUGAAAAAAGGAAGCUCUUAGUAAAACGGGUGUGAUAGCCGCACUGUUGGAGUGCCUAUGUUCAACGCAGGAAAAAUAACGUGUGGAAAAUAACCAUUUGCCUCUUUAUGCAUGUCUUCAGGUGCUGUUUAUCACACUCUGUACUCCCUUUGCAACGCAUGAGACUCCUCCUGCAACUUCUGCAAGUGUUGAUUUUAAAAGCACAUUAGGUAGUGGAUGCCAAUUCAGACCGGACAUUUCACCGAGUGAAAUAGUUAUUAUUCAAGGCUCAACAGGAAAUCAAUUGCAUUUAUAAGUGUGUUUCUACUCAAACUGAAUUCAUUACAGUGGGGAAGUGAACUGACCUCAGAGAAAUGACAUCUGCUUGCCAGCACAGGGGGCCAACUAAUAAGAACAGCCACCUGUCUCAGUGUGUUGAGUGUGUGAACAGAACAAUGACAUGAAAAGGAGGGAAUCCAAGUCAGACUUAGUUUAGCUGGAUGCAAUGUUGCAAUGUCAGAUAUCUGAAAGCCUGAUAAAAGGAAACUUAAGAAAACGGUUUACCACUGUAAACACAAACCUAUUUUGACAUCCACACAGCAAAUAUUUCAAAUGAAAUGCAAUGAAUACUCUUUGAAAUAAUGUCUUAAUACAGCAGGCAACUUCUGAAGAAAAGGUUGGAUAAAAAUUUAGUAGGAGAACACUUGGGGUAAUACAUCCAUGAAUAAUUUGUGGUCAGGGUAAAGAGAGCAGACAUCAUUUUGAACUCACGCAUGUCCUCCAUUUCCUAUCUACAAGUGUUGGUGCAUCAUCUGCAGAGAGCCUAAGGCAACGAUGCGCAGGACAUUUCCACAGAGGAUCACUUGGAAAAUAUCCAUCAGAAAAAGAUACUAAUUAGUUUAUGCAUGUGUAUAUGUGUGCAUGCCUCUGCGCGUGUUAGGGCAGAGGGAUGUGCACCUAGCCAGGCGUGAGAGAUGUUGUGCAGCCAAGUGCAGUAAUUUCUUUGAUCAUUUUUAAUGGCCAUUCUUUCAUGUGAGGCUGCAGCUUGCACACAGCUCCCUGCAGGUGCCAUCUCAUUCCUUCAGUUGUGGGAUUAGCAUGCAGCAGGCAAUGAAAAGCCAGGCCAUUACACUGUGCAGCUCACAUACAUAAUCUCAACACAGUGGGAUCAUUACCUUUUCAAAGGAUAUCAGCUCACAGUCUACAGAGACACAAAGAAAGCGAUAGAAGCUGAGCAAAAGCAAAAGAGGACAGAAAUAGAGGCAACAAACCACAGUUGCAGUGUGUGAUGGAGGCGGUUAGAGAAAGAGCUAUCAAUCAGCAUUGCAAAUAAUGGCAGACAGGCAUGCGGAGAAUAAUGCUUUAGUUCCCUGUGAAAGGCUGGUAUGAUAUGGAGACAUUGGUACCUGUUGUAUUCUGAAAUAAAGUUGAAACAUUCUCACUUCUACCAUUCUUUGUCCUCAUAUAAAUUAUUCAGCUGUUUCAGCCAUUGCUCAGUCUCUGACUUGAAAUACUGUUGAGAAUGUCUGACAUUGUGACCAGACAGGUGCCCCACCAAACCCUAAACUACUACUGAAUGUUAAGAUUCUAAAACAGUGCAUAAACAGGGGUAAAAAAUAAAACAAAAUCCAGCCAAGUCAGUGCUGUAAGUGAGGCGAGCCGGGCCUUGAAGGGCCUCUCUGGCUGUGGCAGAACGUCCAACAGAUUGUCUCCACAACCCUGCACUCUACACACAAAACACCAGUAACUAAAAAGCUCUCCAGGAGGGCAAAGAGUACUCCCACUGUGCCUUUCACAAACUCCUGCGCUAGUGCGAACCAAGCAGAGAGGUAAAAGGUCUGUAACAGCACCUAAAAAGCCAUUUUCAUGAUACGCGAAUCCUUACAAACCAGCAUGUUGUUUCAUUAUUAAUAGAUCUCAGGAGGCUCUGCUAGUUGAGAAAGAUGACUGGCUUAUCUCAUCCACCCGCAUACUGCAUCUCCCAUGGUGGCCCUCUCAAUCCGGUGCAAUUGACUCACACUUUUUAUCUAUUCAUUACAACCCGUUCUCCCGUCAGCCAGAAGUCUUUCAUUCAGAGAAAGUAUGUAUUGUACGCUAUAUGCAAGUGUAUUUUUAAGUCUGAAGAAGUACGUUGCUUUAGAAUCAUCCCCAAAAUCAUCUAGAUGGAAUUUAAUGGAAAUAUACAGAAAUGUAAAUGUUUAGUGCUGGAUCCUAGCAAAGGAUAUAGUCUCUUAACAAAGUAAUAGUUUAUUUGUAUAAACAUGUGUAUUCAUCUACAAAGGCUUUGCCUGCAGCAGAUUUUUUUUACCAAACAUUCACAGCAUAGGGUGACCGGGGAUCUCUGCAUCUUAAUUUGUUAUGUUAUGCCCCAGCUUUUUUGCUCCCCCUGUGUUCAGCACCUUUCUCUAUGACCAUUGCAAUUUUUUAGGUUGGGUAUUUGUACAACACAUAGAUACUUUAUUGAUCCCUCAAGAGGGAAAUUUUGGUAUCACAGCAGCAUGUACAGGGAAGAAAAUAGAAUAAAAAGAUACACAUUAUAUACAAUAUAAUAAGAUAGAAAUAUUAAAUUAUUAAAUAAACUAAAACUGAAACAAAAGAAUAACCUUCCAAAAGAGACAAUAAUAAUAAUUUGUAAAAGGAGAAGAGGAAGAGGACAUGACUAGGUUGGUUAAAGCUUACAUCCUGCGUUGCUGUUAUAUGUUAUGUUGCAGUGUAGCAUGAAGCGGAUACAGCAACAAAGGUGCAGUGAGUUGACAAAAUGAUAAAAACGUGGGUGGACUUUCCCGUGAUCUAAAUUGACGUUUAGAUCAUUAAAAGUUCAAUUAGUUUCUCAAGCCCAACACAGAUUGCUGUUUGGCCCUAAAAAGGCAGUGUUGCUCAGGUGAUAAUCAUCUUUUGUAUACCAACCAAAAUGGAGAUGUUAUGGAAGCACAGGACUUACUUUGCUAUUAGACUCACUUCUUACGUUUUCCAAUCUCUCUCUAAUCUUACAGCCAGCCUAACUCGACACACUAAUUAGUUGACUCCAGGGAAAAAUGCAAUGUGAUUCUUGAGCUCUAAAUUCAAGCAAAGCUUCUGAGCCAUGGUGUUCUUCAGUAAUUCCAUUAAUCACCAACAUUCUGAUAAUAUCAAUUAUUUCAGUAAACAAGGAAGUCUAGAUCAAGUCUUUGCCCUUCACUCAAUCCCUGCAUUAAAUCACCGGCGGAGAGACUCUGUAGCUAAUUGGAGUAAAAUGGAGCUUUGUGAGGGAUAAUUGAGGAUUUCUAUACAGUGUGUAGUUGUUGUAACGUACAAUACCAAGUGCAUUUACAGGAAUGGGGAAGCAGCAAACAUUGGAAGAAGCAUAUUGUUCUAAACAAACAGUCAUGGAAAAUAACAAAAUACCUGUACAUGUUUCUUGAUUCAGUUUUGAUAUCAAAAUACUAAUAUUGUUUUAUAAAGUUCUUAACGUUUUAGUGCAAAAAUACUUGGCCUGUCAAUAGAACUAAUUGCACAUUUUAAAUACAUAACUCGCCAUUACUUUUUUGUUUUUUAACACUGUGGUGGUCCUCUGCAGGGUAGGUGUUGAGAUGGAAGUAGCCCAGCUGCUAGCUUAUCAUGGCGGUGCGUAAAGUCGUCCGUUUGCCAGUCAUCCCCCUUCUGUUUGACAUGUGAUGCACAGUUCUCCGCUGUAUGUCACGCCUCUGUUUGUUUUACUUCUAAUGCAAAAAGCUCCCUCAGUCUUCAGCUGCCGACUUGCUCGCUCAGAUCUAACUGACUGCAGCUGGUGGCGGUUUUGUUUCCGGGGUCAACUUUGUUUACUUUCGGCACACUGGAAGACCGGAAGUAAACAAAGUAGCGUUAUCGGCAUUAAAAUAUUUUAUCGCAUCUCUGCCAGAUUAAUUCACAUAGAUUAACGAUUAACCAUUUCCGAUCUUCUCCAUUAAGAAUCAUCUAGACCACUCAGUUAAUCUACAUUCUGUCUCCAGGGUCAAAGAUUUACAGAGAAAGAGGCAUAUCGUUUUUGAAAACGUAUUUUUUUUAAAAUUUAAAACAUUUCUUACACUGCACUGUUACUUUAUGCUUGUGUUCUAUCCCAGUCUUAUUCCAUUUAAGCGUUGUUUGAUUUUCAGUUACCAAUUUUAAAAUUGUAUUGAAAUGUUGCCUAAUAAUCCCUUAAGGUUUUAAGGUUUUAUGGUAAGCAGUCUGAAUUAUCAUUAAUAUAUAAUAUGCUAUGCUCAACUUGCCAUGCCAUAAUAAAGACGAGCCACAUUAUUUAUCGGUUUUUGAUUUUUAAUAUUGUAGUCAAUAUAAACGUGUUUUGGACAUAAAAACCCAGGUGUUAUUUUUUAAUGUAAUAAUUUUUAUUGGAUUCUGGCCAACCCAAGAAUGGCUCCUUUAUUCAUCAUUGCCUAACAGUACAAAGAUUAGAAACAUUUUGCCUGACAGUUAUUUCUAGAGAAGGGCCCCUCUCAUGGUUCCAACCACAUGUCCUCAAACCACAGCAUCGUUGCAUUAAAUGAGCUGUAUAAGUAUUACUCAUUAAAGCUUUUGUUUUUAAGUAAAAACAAAAUUAGAAUCUAAACACAAAGUAGAAAGAGAAAAAAUGUAAUCUAAAAAUUAAUCAUUAAUUAAUCAGUCAUUUUAAGUGUAUAAACUCAACAGGAAUGUAUAAGGAUGUAAAAUACAAUAGUAGUCAAAGUAUAUAAACCAUAAAAUGCCAAUUGAAGAGCUCAAGGUGUCAAGAAUUGAACUAAUAUGGCCUACAGGAGGAUGCGGCCAUUGAGCCUGAAGGUGUAAUCAUUUGUGUAGUUUGAAUAAUUUAUUAAUUCAUCCAGUAAUUUAGUUAAAUCCAGGGGGAUUUAAGGACGCUCUAGAAAACUGAUUAAAACACACAUUCAUUUUUAGUAAAGGGUAGGUAAAGAACACAACAUUUUUUGAAAACAGGCUAAUUUAGUGACAGUAGACUGUGUUAUGUUUUGUGUACAUUUGUGAUUUACUUUAAAUCAUUCAGAAUUCAGAAUGACUGUCAAUCUUCAUCACUCCCGCCACUCAACCCCCACCCCC